rnacentral:rRNA from 1 species
GACGAACGCUGGCGGCGUGCUUAAUACAUGCAAGUCGAGCGGACAGACCCUGAUUUUGUGGCGUUCUCGAUUGGCGAACGCGUGAGUAAAACGUGUGUAAACUCCCCUUGACUUUGUGAUAACUUUAGGAAACUGGGGCGAUUAUCGGAUAGGAUAUCCUGCUGCAUGUGGGUGGUUGGUAAGUUUCGGCGGUGGUGGAUGGUCUCGCGGCUUAUGAGCCGGUUUGUGAGGUAGGGGCGUACCAAGGCUUUGAAGGGUAGCCGGCAUGAGAGGGUUAACGGCCACAUUGGGACUGAGAUACGGCCCAGACUCCUACGGGAGGCAGCAGUGGGGAAUAUUGCAGAAUGGGCGGAAGCCUGAUGCAGCAACGCCGCGUGCGGGAUGCCGGCCUACGGGUUGUAAACCGAUUUCGCAGGUGCCGAAGCGUGCGUGACGGUAAUGAGUAAAGAAGCAACGGCUAACUACGUG